GCCGUUGUAGACCAGCGGACAGGUCAUCCUCGAAAUGUGGGUGCUGACGCUUUCUCCAUCUGGGGAAGACGGGGGUUCGAGUCCUCUCGGCGGCU